rnacentral:lncRNA from 1 species
UCUGCCGCGGCCGGGAAGUUCGAACAGAAGUCUGGGGAAGAGCCGGCGAAGAGCAAAGAGAUAAUACAGUACUCCCAGCUAUAGCAAGCGGCAGUUAUGGAGCAUGCGCAGCAGCAGGGGCGGCCGCAGGUCGCCGUUCAAUAAUACGUAAUUCAAGGGAUUUGUACAGCCCUGUAGGAGACACCUCCAGAGAAAGUAACAGCUCUCAAUUGAUUAGCUGAGAAUAAACAGAUGCUUUUACAGCUCGCCUUGGCGGGAAGAUCUGGCACAAAUGAAGUAUCUAUAAGGAGCAGCAGAGUCAAGGUGGUGAUCCUGUGGAUGAAUAACUGAAACCUGAUAUACUUGACAGCAGAAAAUAUAAAGCAAAUUGAAAAGGAGAGAGUGUGGAGAUAAAUAAGAAAAUGAAAGAACUGAUAAAGUCACUUGGAUUAAAAAACCUGGGAGUAAGGGCUUUGUUUAUGAUUGAACUUAAGAGAGAAUUGAGGGACCACCUACCUUUGAUGUUAACGAGAAAGUAAAGAGGAAACAUAUUUAGAGAUA